rnacentral:rRNA from 1 species
UGGGGAAUUUUGGACAAUGGGCGAAAGCCUGAUCCAGCAAUGCCGCGUGUGUGAAGAAGGCCUUCGGGUUGUAAAGCACUUUUGUCCGGAAAGAAAUCCUUGGCUCUAAUACAGUCGGGGGAUGACGGUACCGGAAGAAUAAGCACCGGCUAACUACGUGCCAGCAGCCGCGGUAAUACGUAGGGUGCAAGCGUUAAUCGGAAUUACUGGGCGUAAAGCGUGCGCAGGCGGUUUGCUAAGACCGAUGUGAAAUCCCCGGGCUCAACCUGGGAACUGCAUUUGGGUGACUGGCAGGCUAGAGUAUGGCAGAGGGGGGUUAGAAUUCCACGUGUAGCAGUGAAAUGCGUAGAGAUGUGGAGGAAUACCGAUGGCGAAGGCAGCCCCCUGGGCCAAUACUGACGCUCAUGCACGAAAGCGUGGGGAGCAAACAGGAUUAGAUACCCUGGUAGUCCACGCCCUAAAACGAUGUCAACUAGUUGUUGGGGAUUCAUUUCCUAGUAACGUAGCUAACGCGUGAAGUUGACCGCCUGGGGAGUACGGUCGCAAGAUUAAAACUUAAAGGAAUUGACGGGGUCAUAGCUGUUUCCU